UACGAAGGGGGCGAGCGUUGUUCGGAAUUACUGGGCGUAAAGGGCGCGUAGGCGGCGACUCAAGUUAGAUGUGAAAGUCCUGGGCUUAACCUGGGGACUGCAUUUGAUACUGGGUUGCUUGAAUUCGGGAGAGGAUAGCGGAAUUCCCAGUGUAGAGGUGAAAUUCGUAGAUAUUGGGAAGAACACCGGUGACGAAGGCGGCUAUCUGGACCGACAUUGACGCUGAGGCGCGAAAGCGUGGGGAGCAAACAGG
rnacentral:rRNA from 1 species